UUCUUAAUCAAAAUAUCUAUUUUUAGCUAUGGUUGUUUACAAAAUCAUCUUUUAUUACAAGGCAAGAAGUGCUUUCUGCAGUUCAAAUUCCAAGUAGAGACUUUGAAAGUAUUGCUACUUCACUUGCUGUGAAAACUGACAGAUGUUGGCAAUUCAAAUUUCCUGAUGAUCAGGAAUUUCUUGAGAGUCAUCCUGACAUUGCAGAGCGUCAAGCCAUGAAAUGGGAUCUUCGUUAUAAAAAGCUUGUUAAAGACUUGAAUAUUGGCAUGCAAGAUUCAAGUGGUAAGAGCGUUUGUAUUAAAAAAC